rnacentral:rRNA from 1 species
UACGAAGGUCCCAAGCGUUGUUCGGAAUCACUGGGCGUAAAGGGAGCGUAGGCGGCGUGGUAAGUCAGAUGUGAAAUCCCGGGGCUCAACCCCGGAACUGCCUUUGAUACUGCUAGUCUCGAGUCCGGAAGAGGUGAGUGGAAUUCCGAGUGUAGAGGUGAAAUUCGUAGAUAUUCGGAGGAACACCAGUGGCGAAGGCGGCUCACUGGUCCGGUACUGACGCUGAGGUGCGAAAGCGUGGGGAGCAAACAGG